AUACGUAGGGUGCGAGCGUUGUCCGGAAUUACUGGGCGUAAAGAGCUCGUAGGUGGUUUGUCGCGUCGUCUGUGAAAUUCCGGGGCUUAACUCCGGGCGUGCAGGCGAUACGGGCAUAACUUGAGUACUGUAGGGGAGACUGGAAUUCCUGGUGUAGCGGUGAAAUGCGCAGAUAUCAGGAGGAACACCGGUGGCGAAGGCGGGUCUCUGGGCAGUAACUGACGUUGAGGAGCGAAAGCAUGGGUAGCGAACAGGAUUAGAUCCCCUGGUAGUCCAUGCCGUAAACGGUGGGCGCUAGGUGUAGGGGUCUUCCACGACUUCUGUGCCGUAGCUAACGCAUUAAGCGCCCCGCCUGGGGAGUACGGCCGCAAGGCUAAAACUCAAAUGAAUUGACGGGG
rnacentral:rRNA from 1 species